UGGGUUGUGGCUCAGUGGUAGAGCGCUUGCCUAGCACAUGCGAGGCCCUGGGUUCGAUCCCCAGCACCACAA
rnacentral:tRNA from 1 species